rnacentral:sRNA from 1 species
GGGCCACUGUACAGCUCUGCUCUACGUGGAGGCUCCUUUCAAGAAUGAGUCCUGGGCGACUGCACAGCCCUGCUCUAUGUGGAGGCUCCUUUCAAGAAUGAAUCCUGGGCCACUGUACAGCCCUGCUCUAUGAGGAGGCUCCUUUCAAGAAUGAGUCCUGGGCGACUGUACAGCCCUGCUCUAUGUGGAAGCUCCUUUCAAGAAUGAGUCCUGGGCGACUGCUCUGUCGUCAAUCCUUAUCCCAGACGUCUGGUAACUCUAAGCAUACAUUGUUUUCAAUUACAGAUUGUGUCCCUUUCCCAUCACUAAUUUUGCUCGAGAUGUAGGAAAUCACAGAAGAGGCUUAAAAUGUCAAAGAUGACUCUAUUACUUAACAGUAAUGUCUGUGUAAUAAAUGUUUCUACUCUAAAGCUGAAAGAAUCGAUGUUCAAAAUACUGUCAUCAAUAACCAAACUGCUCAACCGGUGGACGAUCAACGAAUUCCUAACAUUCCACCAGGGCAAAAUCUUCCACCAUCUGGGGUACUGCAGCGUGCUCAAAAUAACAAUGUCCAGCCAUCGAUGCUACUUCCACCUACCAUCCCAGCGGACAGAAAAACGACUACAGAGCAAUUGCAAGGUCUCAAUAAUGAGCCGACUGGACCGAGGGACCUAAAUCAAGGUGCAGACUCUGCUAGGCCAAAUUCAAAUCCUUAGGAUCCAUCGUAGAAAACAAAGUAGCAACGUAUUAAAUGUUUAGUGUUUUCAAGUCAGAAGGCUAGACAAAAAAAAAUACUAAACGUUUUAAUAUAUAUCUUAGUUUGUAGGAAACAUCCAGAAAAGAACUUUAUGAAAUAUUGAAUGUGUGGUAUUAUAAAUUGUCAUUCUUUUAGCUUUUUCGUCUAUUUAUAACAUCCCUGUUUCUUUGUUAUGGUCUUCUUAUUCAUUUUAUAUAAUUCUUUUUUUAUUUUUCGUAUUUUGAAAAUAUUUACUUGUAUAUUCCUUUUAAGACUACUCACUAUAUGUUUUCUUUGUAAUUUUUUUUCAUUGUAUAUUCCUUUGUUAUUUCGCAAUUUAAAUUCCUUGGUUUUUAUUUUAUACCUUUUUUUAUGUCUGUACUUUCUUUUUUUUCUUCACCUUUUUAUACAUAAGUGGUGUGUGUAUCGCUGGGAUGCAAAACAAAAAAAAAUUUUUUGAUUAUAAACUAGAAAUUUAUCUCAUUCAUUUCAGCCCAAAAACGUAUCAUGCUUUAGUCAGACAAAUCUGUUCAUGUUUAGGGCUAUAUUUGUGCAUGUCUAUUUGUAUGACUGCCUGUGUGUAUUUGAAUGUUUGUGUGUGUUUAUGCCUAUGUUUACAUAUAUGCGUGUAUGCAAGAAUAUCCACAUACGUUAGGCUAACUACAUUUUUUUUAUUGUACAAGUUAUUAGCUGAAAUUACCAGUAAAAGUUACAUGUAAGACUCAUCGGUAAAAGUUACCUGUAGACUUACGUGUAAAAGUGACCUAUAAAACUUACUAGAAAAGCACUAUACUUGUUGUUUUUCC